GAUUUCACGAGGAUUUGUUGCAUUACAUCUCCUCUCGUCACAUUUGGAAAUUCAUUUCUUCCAAUUAUUUUUAAUUCAUUGCCGCAAUUGAAUCGAUACCUUUCAUCAUUGAAUUUAACAUGAAAUCCUUAAAAAAACGCACUUUGUUGAAAUCUCUUCGUCUGAGUCCGAAAACGCUGUAGAUGCUGUUGAGAAGAUCAGUUCUUCGAAUUCUAGUGAGGAUGAUGAUGACGAUGACGAUGAUGAUUGGAGUGAAUGGAAGGAAUCAGAGUAUGAAGAAACAGAAGAAGUAGAAGAUAAUGAGACCCAUGUUCAAGAAAAUGAUGAAUCCAUGUUUAAUAAAAGGGAAAUGAUCUUCAAGAGUUGAACUUAGUCGAAUGUAAAGCAUAUUUAAGAAGGCAUGGAUUGAGAUUAUCCGGAACCAAAGCCGAGUGCAUAGAGAGAAUUAAGGAGCACUGGAGGAUAAAAGAUAGAAAUUGUGAAGCCUUGUAUCCAAGAUCUUCAUUUACCAUUGAUUGCAGUGGUGACGUAUGCAAGGGAGAUGUUGUUUUGUUCAAUCAGAAAGUAUAUGAGAAGUAUUGCUGAUAAACUCACUCAUUUUACAAAAUAUAUAAAAUUUGAUUUUCCACUGUAUUUCUUCUUGAAUGGACGAUAUUGUUUUUGAACCGUUUUGACAAAAUGACGAGGCGUGGAAGCCCUCUUGGGAGAAGGACUGUAAAAGAAAAUUACGGUGCUGGUAAACAAUAAUACACCUUCACAGUUGAAGUGCUAUGGAGCAUGGGAGCCAAGAAACUACCUACACUUUUCUCUUUGCUUGUGAAGGGCAGAAACCUCUACAAAUUGAGGACAUUUAAACAGCGCUGGAAUAAUGAAAAAGAAAGGUUGAAUGUACUUGCUGAGAAGCAUAAACGAGGAGCAGCAGCAAGAAGCUUAAGAGCUAUGAGAAAGGCAAAAGCAGAAAAGAAGACAAAUAAAUCUUGUACAAACAUAGGUAAGAAGAGCCACAAGCUUUUUGAUCACGCAGCGACAUCUGGAACAGAAGUGACGGGUAAUAAUAUGCAGAUGAACAAUGUCAAUGAACCACCGAAUCCUUUGAGGGGAAACCUUAAAUUCAAUUUUUCACCAAAGGCCAUCCUCGUUCCAAGCAUUAAAUUCAAAACAGAAGGGAGAUUUCAGAAUUCCCGAAUUUAACUUCAAACAUCGAAAUUUAAUCCAACCAAUCGAGUUCAAGAAACCCCACUUUUGCCAUAUACUUGUCAUCCUUCCCAAGACUUUCACCACUUCAACUCAGACCUUUACAACCGAAGAUGGUAUUGUCACUUCCCUUCUUAUAGAGGUUCUGUAUCUGCAGUCGGAUUGCCCCAUUGCCACCCCUUCUCCCAUUCUGUUUUGGCACCUGCUUCAGAAUCUCAAGAAUUUGCCCAUGGCAGGUACUUUUACCACAUUCGUCUACGUCAAAAUCGUGUAUAUGAAUCAAGAAAGUUUGAUCAUUUCGCCCAAGCACCAUCUUAUCUGUCACCUACUGAUACAUAUAGGCAGGGAUAGCAGCAUAUAAACCUCUGCAUUUUUUCCUGAUUUUUGGUAACAGCAGUCAGAUUAUUGUUGUUAUCUUACAUAUGAACCAGUUUGUCACUUGAUCUACCACACAUAUUUGGAGUAGCUAAAUGGACAUGGAAAUGCAAUUACAGGGUUUUA